GAAAACAAAUGGCACGUAAAGGAAAAGAACUACCCAACAACUCAACAACAAUUGCUGGCCACAAUUAACAUGGUUGAACAAACACUGAAACAAGGUAGUAGAUACACACACCAUAUGACCCAUUUAAAAUCAAAACACACAUCAGGCAUAAUGCAGUAACAGUGCUAGACAAAUUAAAAUUUACAACGACAUUCUCGGCUCAGGAUCUUACCAAAUGUCGAAGCGCCAAUAUCGCCUAGAGCUCGUUGAGUUAUUCGUACCGUAUUUGCGCCGCUGAGGUUGUCAGUUGAAAAACAACCGCUAGUUGCGCUGCUGUUGGUGUGAAUCUCGAAAACAGUGGGGAAACGGAACCGCGAUUAGUGUCGUCCGCGCACGGUGCGUUGUUGCAAAAGGAAGAAAAAAAAACGGUGUGAGGUAGUGUUGGUUGUUGUUGACGGCGGAUAAAGUGGCGGAGUCGAAGUGCAGGUGAGAGUUUAUGGUGGAGGACGGUGUUUCGCGGCGGUGAUGAAGCUUCAAACUCCUCCAACUCUUCAAACCAGGUUUGUCUUUGAUUUUAAGCUUUAGGGUUUAGGGUUGUUGUAUGGAAUUCCAAAGAAUAUCUUCUGCAAACUACUUUUGAUGCGCUCAGUUGAGAUUGGCCUUUUUGAUGCUUGAUUCGGAACGGUGAAAUGGGGUUGUGAGAAGGAUCAAGAACCUGAAGAUGAGAUUGGUCAAGAGUAGAUGAUAGAUUGAUGCCACCAUCGAUCAAAUUAUUUUCGAGAUGAAGCUCUUGUAAUGUUGGCAUUGUGAAAAAAAUCUGGUAGAAGAAAGCCUUUUAAUUGGUUGGAACUGAUAUCAAGCACUCUAAGCUUUGGAUACCGUGUUAACACAUUUGGAAGGUUGUCACCGAGAUCAUUACCGGAUAAGUUCAAAUAGUUUAAUCGCAUAAACUGAGGAGUUACCUCGGGAUGUUCCCAGUCAAACGAAUCUGGCUGAGAUCAAGAUAUUCUAUGUUCCCCCAUUUAAACACCCUCAUCAAAUUUCCUUCAAAUUUGUUAUUUGACAGAUCAAGUACAGCGCAACUUCCAGUCAGCGGCAGCAGCUGGCCAGUGAAACCAUUCGACGAGAUAUUCAGAAAGUGAAGUGUCGUGGAUGUAAUUAUACUCAGCGGUCCUGAGAGAUUGUUGGCGCUCAAAUCAAGUUCAGUUAAAACCAAAGAAUCUCCUUUAAGUAAGCCACUUGGAAUAAAUCCUGAAAAUCUAUUGUUGCUAAGCUUAAGGAUUUGGAGAUCGUAAACAAAAUCGAAUCCAGGUAAUUCACCAUUCAAUUGGUUAUAACUGAGAUCCAACACCUUCAAGUUUUGGAAAACCGGUUGCUCAGCCCACCAACCAAUGAAACAGUAAGCUGGUUAUGGCUUAGAUUCAUAUACUUAAUACUUUCAGAUAUUUGCGGAAGAAAUUUGCCGGAAUCGGAACUCAACAGCAUGUUAUCACUUAAAUCAACAUAGCUAGCACUUGAUAAAAGCAUGAAUUCAAGAUCUAAAGUACCGUCGAGCAUAUUCCCGUGAAAGUCAAGUUUAUCAAGGUUGGAAAUAAGCAUGAAACCUCUGGGAAUUUUUCAGUGAAGCCAUUAUGAGACACAUUAAGAGAUACAAGACUAUCCAGCUUAGUCAACGAUUGCGGAAGUGCUCCGGAAAGGGCGUGGCGGCUCAAGUCUAAAGAUUUGAUGGAGGACAUCUCUGAAAUAGAAUUCGGAGCUGGACCGGAAAAGUUAUUUCCAGCCAACGACAGAUUCUGCAAGCUAUCAAAUUUACUGAUUCCAUCCGGUAAGGACGAGGAAAAGAGGUUAUUAGAAAUAUCAAGAAACUCAAGGCUUUUGAAAUCGGCAACAUUAUUCGGCAACAAUUAUACCGAAGAUCGCAACAAUUCAGAGACUGAAUGACUUCCGUGGAUGUGGUCACUAUUCAAAGCAUUACGAUAUGUGGUUUUACCGGUAUUUGCUACUUCAUGAAUUCCAAAUACGAUAUUGAUCCUACUCUUGCUUCUUCCAUGCAAUUUUUCAUCAAUGUGAUUCCUGUGGCCGUGAAAAUCAUCUAGACCAUCUUUCACAACAGUGCUCUCCUGCCUUAACAGCUUGAACCGACAAGGAGAAAGAGAAAUGGAAAGAAUGCUUUUUUUUUCAAAAUAACAUCACAUGCCUUCAAAUAAACCCAUGAAUGCAGGCUAGCUCUCAAAUAAAGGCGAAGAGACUUAGCUAGCAUUACAUGUCCUUUAGCCACAGAUUCUGAAAUCAACAGAUGAACAAUUGCUUGUCGAUUUUCCUUGUUGUCGGUUGGAGGUUUUGGCCAGGUGACAUGGUGGACCGGGAACAAAGAAAUUGGUUGUAGUUUCCAAGAGCACACUCUUAUGAUGUUGGUGCAGUUGGUAGCAUUUUAAACAUGUCUUGUUUUACUGCAGGAACAUGUGUCGAAGGUGAUGACAGGAUGCAAGUGUAAGGCUUGUCAUGAUACUGUCCUGCGACUCUUUCGCUGUUGAUGAUAUUUCUUCAACUCACCAGUUACAACUGUAACCUCAGAAUUCAUAAGAUUCACCGACUUGGAGCUGACAUAAAUGCCGGAAAAAAAUACAGGGUUAUGUACUGUCAUUCUCAUUGAACAAUUCACUGUCAACAUCUUAGUUGGAACUCCAGUUAUGUCUGACCCUUCCUUACACUUUUAUGUGAUUUUUUCCUUUUUAUUUCUACUAAUAAAUCUUUGAAUCUUCAUUUGAAAUUUGGUUUUGGGUACUGCUGCUGAUGAUGGAGCUGGAAGCAUUCCAACAGAACUUUGCGGAAGACCGACAGUCCUUGUUGGAGAAGUACACUUUAGAUUAUUCGGUCCAAGCUUGUCAAAACUAUCCUUUGACUCUUCAGUUCCAUUAAGGCUUGUAUAAUCUUCUGAUUUGGGACAUCCGUGAUCUUUUCGAACCUGAACUGUUACUCCUCUUAGAUUUUGAUGAUUUACGUUGCAAUGGUGCACCUUCCAUUGUGGAAGUAAUUAGACCACAAUUUUUGCCAUUACCGCUGAUUGGAACUUUUACAUGGUUGAGUCUUUAGAAACUCAGUACAGGAAGAAAACUCAGCAGAAUUUUUCAUAUUUGCAACAUCAUUUUGGAAUGAAUUGGAGUUAGCGGGUUGAAGGUUCUAUUAGGAAUUGGAAAGUGAUGUUGAAACCUUCUGUUAUGAUAUUGAUGUGUUGUUGAACUCUUUUUUUUGGAAUGAAUUAUUGGAAUGCUUGAAUUUAGAUUCUUGAUGGAGCUUUGAUUGUUCAUUAAGAUUGUAUUUGUAGGAUUUAUGUAAUAUGAUGAACUUGUGAGAAAAUGUUGUGAAAUGUAAUUUGGAGCAUGACUUUGUAGUUUAUGGAAAUGACUAUGGAUUUUAGAAA